UUUUCCCACAGUCACAUAAACCCUCAAAAUUAGAGGGAAAUAACAAUAGCAACUGAAGGGGAAAAAAUUAAACAAAACCGAAAUUGAAAAUGAAUUACUGAGCCAAAUCGGUGAAGGAGGUGAUCAUAGCAAAAAUAUGAGCCAAUAGGUCAAUCGGCAAUCGAUCAAUCUCCGGUUCCAACUCCAUCUCUACCGACCACACAACAGCAGAAUCCAUUCUAGCCAUAUACCAAUUUGGAAGAAGAAGAAGAAGAAGUUUGCGGCGUUGAAAAACGAGGAAAUUCACGAGUUGAAUUCGUUACUUUUGGCAAAAGAUAAGCAUAAAAAAGCAAACGGAAUAUUCAAAGAAGAGAGAGAAGGAGAAGAUGUUGACAUAAUUUCGCCACCAUUUCAAGAAUCUGAGCUCCAAAAUUUAUCCAAAUUAUAUGAUACGAACGAACAUUUUGUUCGGUUUUUUCAUGAAUUUAGUAAAUCCCCAUGAUGGAAUCACUCAUAUUGUCUCAUUCUCUCGCAAAAGCUUCGCUGUAUUUGAAUUCAUCCGACGAAUUUCGUUACAAUUUACUUCCAAAUGUAUAAAUUUAGUCCCAACAAAUAUUGAAUUUAGUUCUUGCCAUUAGUUUAUUGUUAAUUUUAAGUUUGAGUAAUAAGUAGCUGUUCGCAAACGAAUAAACCACAAUACAAUUCAAAAUUCAUGUUUUCCAUCAUAUUUUUAGUACUAAAUUCAUUUUACGACUCUUCCAACAUUCAUUCAAUUCCAAUUUGAAGUCAUUCCUAUUACAUUCCAACCUUUAAACACCUUUAACUUUUUUAAUUUCUAAUCAUUUUUUUUAAAGAAUGAAAAGUUGACACAUGACAACUUUUCAUUGAGUGCAACAAGAUUUGCACAAAGAGACAAGUGCAUCACUAUAGGUGCCUUGGAUCAAGUGCAUAAGCAAUUCACUUAUUAUACAACACCCUCAAACAAACCUAUUCUAAUAAUAUAUGCGUUCUUUUAUUGUUUCUAAAACUUUUUCAUCAAGAUCAAACCACUUAUGACCUCACUUUUUGGACCAACUAAAUGGCACUAGUGCCAAAGUGUUUGGUAUACAACCAAAUUAUGUACUAGAUAGAUUAUAAUAGUUAUACUAAUUAAGAGAAACUUAUAUGAAAUAGAUUAUUUAUUUCAUUACUUAAUCAUCUUUGAAAAGUAUUUAUGAGAGGUCAUUCUCAUGAUGACUUGGAUAAAAAGGACAUGUUGGUCCGUAGUUAGCGAGCUUGGUUUUUAUGUACCUUUGUACUUAUUGUAAUUAUCGUGUGUGACAAUUUAAAAAUUGCAAUACAUACUUUACUUAUAUCCACUUGGAGUCCACAUAUAUAUAUGUAUAUAGAAUCGUGAACGUACUUCUUGGUUAUUUCUUGGUUAUAUUUGAAGUGACAUAUUAUUAUAUUUUACACCCAUGUAGAAUCAAGAACACUUCUUGAUUUGAUUUGAAGUGAUGGACUUAUCGCAACCAAACCGACGAAACAGUCGAUAGGAACCCUCAUUGCCCAAACAUUGAUUGACUCGAGUUGGUGACAAUUACGUACGAGAAUUAGAAGUCCGCUCUCGGUUACAAGGCGACAGCACCACAGGACAAUGGUCUGCAGAAUUAAGAAAAGAAAUUAUGCAACUGAUCAUUAAAGAUUGUGCAAAACCCUAAUGGUUAAUUAAUUGAAAGAGAUUAUUGAGAAGUAUAAUUAAUCACCUUUAAAUUUGGACAAUUGUCUGCUAUUGCAAGCAAUGAUAUAUCUGUUAUAUAGGUGCCACCAAUGUUUAGGUUUUGCAAGGAGUUGGCUCUUGAAAUCUUUGAACACAACCAAAAAUGGAGUGUUACCAAAAAGGAAGUGGAAAUAAUGCUAAUGAGUUGUGAAAGGACAUCAAAUAUAUACAAAGGGGAUAUCAACAUAAGUAUACAUCGCUAAAACUAUAAACUCGAACUAAGAUGCUUUACACCUUUAAACAUAGGUUGAAACAACUUGCACUUCAUAUACAAAUUUAAAAAGUCUCCACUCUAAACUCGACAUAAGAUUAUUAUAACUAGAUCAACCAAUAACUCCUUAGUUUUCUACAUUUUAAAACAGUUAAAGUCAAGUGAAGCAUAUAGGAUUAUUGUGAUUAGGUUAGAGAACUUAUUGACAGAGAGAAAUGAAGAUAUGAACAAUAAAUAUUGUAUAACAAGUAAAAUUUAUAGAACUUAAGACUACUCGGUAACUGUUUUGUUUUUGAAAAUUAAAUCACUUCUACUCAAUUUCUCACGAUGAUUACAAUUUUCAUAAGCUAAACAGUUGAGAGUUGUUGAGAGUUGAAUUCUAAAAAUAAAAACAAAAUUUUAAAAAACCUAAAUCAUCUUGAAACAAUUAUACAUCAAGGAAGCAAUAUGUCUAAACCCAAUGAUCGAUCCAAGACAAAGAUAAAGAAUCUAGAAAACGGAUAAAAAUCUUUUCUAAUUGUCUGAAUAACUAAUGUAGAUGAGAAUGAUGAUUAAUCGAAAUAGAAAGGGUAAGACAAUAACGUUACCAGCUGCACAACGCCCUUGUCGGUGAUCCUUACCAUACCCCAAAGAGAAAUGGACUUAAGAUUAGGAACACACUUCGCAAUAGAGAUUUGGUUCAAUCCAUGAUCUGUUAUUUGGCAACCCCAAUCGCUUCUCGAGCUGGAAAACAAAAAAAGAUAUAGAUAUUAUACUUAGAGAAUCACAUAAGUUUGUUUUUUUUUUUUUUCCUCUUACGGCUAUUCUAACAUAUUUUUGUUUUUUUACUUCUCUAAUUUUUUGGUCAUCCAUGCAUCCGAAUCGAUUAAACAUUAAGGGUGAAAAAAAAUUAUGAAUCAAUACAAACUAUCACAAUAUAUAUAUCGAUUCAAUAGGUAACGAUCAACCCAACCCAACCAACCAACCAAAAAAAUCAUUGAAAAUUUAUUUUUGAAUAUGAAAUGUGAACAAAUGGUAAUUCAAGGUGUAAGGUGAUAUAUAUAUAUAAACUUCUAUCACUGUUAUUAAUAGAAACAUACUAGUGUCUAUUAAAUUUGAAAUUUUGUUAUAUAUUGUAAAUAUUUUGUCAAAUUUGCUCUUUUUUACGAUUCCUCUAUAUGUAAAUGCACGUUAACAUUCAAACCUAAAACCUAAAAUCACCUAAAAAUUAUAUAACUAGGUAUAGUUAUAUAUUGUAUACAUAUUUGGGUUGGGCCGAGUCAACUCGAGUCCCCAACCCCUUACUUGCACAAUUCACCUCCUUCGUUCAACUUUUUUUUAUUAAAUUUUCUAACUCAAUCCAACACAAAAUUUAACCGAUUUCUAUUAAGAACGAAGAAAAAAAAAAGUGAUUUCAGCCAUUUUGUAAUGAAUACAAAGAUAGUAAGAGAAUGAUUACAAAUCAAGCUCUCGAAGACUGUGUUCAUGGCGAAUAAGAUGAGCAGUGGAAUCAUCCUCCAAUUUCCAACCAGCAAAGCUCAAACUCUUUCUUCUACCAAUUGACAUUUUAACUCCAUCUUUCCAUCUUCUACACACUCCCCUCGCCCUAACAGACCAAUCCAAGAAAAUCAAAAUUACGCAUUCAUAAAGAAUAAGUAGGAGAAAAGAAGAAAAGAAAAAAAAACAAAAGUUACUGAGCCAAAUCGCUGAAGUAUGUUAUCAUCGCAAAAAUAUGAGCCAAUAGAUCAAUCGGUAACCGAUCAAUCUCCACCGCCGACUCCAUCUCUUCUCCUCUCUGGUGUUGUUAUUCACUUGAUCGUAUAUUUUCUUUGAAGCAAAG
rnacentral:lncRNA from 1 species